UGCUUUGCGGCACGUGUUGCUGACCUGAUCAGCACAUGCCAGCAGCCUGGGUCUUUCGGCUGCCGCGGGAAUCCUCUCGUGCGACCCACCAGUCCGCUUCGCAUCGACCACCGCGGACGGGCGUUUCACAACGCCGAUGU
rnacentral:ncRNA from 1 species